rnacentral:rRNA from 1 species
UACAGAGGUCUCAAGCGUUUGUUCGGAUUCAUUGGGCGUAAAGGGUGCGUAGGCGGCGCGGUAAGUCGGGUGUGAAAUCUUGGAGCUUAACUCCGAAACUGCAUUCGAUACUGCCGUGCUUGAGGACUGGAGAGGAGACUGGAAUUUACGGUGUAGCGGUGAAAUGCGUAGAUAUCGUAAGGAAGACCAGUGGCGAAGGCGGGUCUCUGGACAGUUCCUGACGCUGAGGCACGAAGGUCAGGGGGGAGCAAAACGGGG